UCCGGCUUAACGCCGGCAGUCUCCUUAGAGUGCCACGGCUUUACCCGGGGGCAACUAGAGACAAGGGUUUCGCUCGUUAAGGGACUUAACCCGACAUCUCACGACACGAGCUGACGACAGCCAUGCAGCACCUGUGCACGUUUCACCCGAAGGCAGGCCCAUCCCUUUCAGGCGGACCAUCCGUGCAUGUCAAGACUAGGAUAAGGUUCUUCGCGUAGCCUCGAAUUAAGCCACAUCCUCCACCGCUUGUGUGAGCCCCCGUCAAUUCCUUUGAGUUUUAGCCUUGCGGCCGUACUCCCCAGGCGGGGCACUUAAUGCGUUAGCUUCGGCACGGAGGGAGUCGACACCCCCCACACCUAGUGCCCAUCGUUUACAGCGUGGACUAC
rnacentral:misc_RNA from 1 species